CUUUCCCUCUUUCUUCAGGCCUAACACAUGCAAGUCGAGCGGAUGAAGGGAGCUUGCUCCUGGAUUCAGCGGCGGACGGGUGAGUAAUGCCUAGGAAUCUGCCUGGUAGUGGGGGAUAACGUCCGGAAACGGGCGCUAAUACCGCAUACGUCCUGAGGGAGAAAGUGGGGGAUCUUCGGACCUCACGCUAUCAGAUGAGCCUAGGUCGGAUUAGCUAGUUGGUGGGGUAAAGGCCUACCAAGGCGACGAUCCGUAACUGGUCUGAGAGGAUGAUCAGUCACACUGGAACUGAGACACGGUCCAGACUCCUACGGGAGGCAGCAGUGGGGAAUAUUGGACAAUGGGCGAAAGCCUGAUCCAGCCAUGCCGCGUGUGUGAAGAAGGUCUUCGGAUUGUAAAGCACUUUAAGUUGGGAGGAAGGGCAGUAAGUUAAUACCUUGCUGUUUUGACGUUACCAACAGAAUAAGCACCGGCUAACUUCGUG
rnacentral:rRNA from 1 species